rnacentral:lncRNA from 1 species
AAGGCGCGGAACUACUCAGUGGUGAAGGCUGUGCGGACACUGGGGGCCCGCCAGGGGUUUGGCCCCUUACUCAACCCAACCACGGUCCUCUCCGGCGCAGGCCGAUUUGAGGACCUAGACUCCUUGAUGCUGACGGCCUGAGGGGGCUCCCGGGUGCCGGAUAUCUGACACAGGCCAGGGAGGCUCCCCUGGGAGACCUGGCAGGCCUGGAGGUGUGAGUCGGCUCUGAGCAGCUGCUCUGGGAGAGCCAGUCCACGGAGCCAAAGCUGGAGGGCAGCUGCCGGCCACAAGUUGGGGAGGAGGAGAGACGCAAGGCCGUCAGAUGCUUGUCCUGGAAACCAACCAUGAGCUGUGAUGAAAUCCAGGCAACUGAGUUGUGUUUCAGCCCAAAGCAGCAAAUGGAAUCCAGCUUCAGGACCAUCAUCUGACAUAGGGGAAGAAGACUUACAUAGAAGGCCUAACCAGCACCCAAGAUCAUGCUCAUAGGUGGAGGAGACUUGCUUUGUCUCAGAUGAGACUUUGGACUGUGGACUUUUGAGUUAAUGCUGAAAUGAGUUGAGACUUUGGGGAACUGUUGGGAAGGCAUGAUUGGUUUUAAAUAUGAAUAUAUGAGAUUUGGGAGGGGGUCAGGGGUGGAAUGAUAUGGUUUGGCUCUGUGUCCCCACCCAAAUCUCAUCUUGUAGCUCCCAUAAUCCUCCCAUGUUGUGGGAGGGACCCAGUGGGAGAUGAUUGAAUCAUGAGGGCGGGUCUUUCUCAUGCUGUUCAUGAUCCCAUUCAUGUGAGAAAGACCCAUGUGAUCAUGAAUGGGUCUCACAAGAUCUGAUGGUGUUAAAAAUGGGAGUUUCUCUGCACAAGCUCUCUGCCUGCUGCCAUUCACAAAGGAUGUGACUUGCUUCUCCUUGCCUUCUGCUAUGAUUGUGAGGCCUCCCUAGCCAUGUGGAACUGUGAGUCCAAUUAAACCUCUUUCUUUUGUAAAUUGACUAGUCUCGGGUGUGUCUUUAUCAGCAAUGUGAAAAA